ACCUAAUAAGACCAGCAGGGGGAAACAAAUAGAAGAGAAAGCACAGGGACAAGACAUGACAAUAUAUGACAAAACAUGACAAUUAUUUGUAAUCAGAAGCUUGUGUAACUAAUUUGAUUUACAAUGACGGCCUAUCCCAGCAAACCCGGAUCAACUGUGCACCACCCUAUGGGACUCCCAAUCACAGCCGGAUGUGAUUCAGUCUGGAUUUGAAUCCGGGACUGUAGUGACGCCUCUUGCACUGAGAUGCAGUGCCUUAAACCACUGCACCACUCAUGCCCUAAUGGUUUGAUACUGUAAAAACUCAAAUUAAAGCAUUCUUAUUUUGUUAUUCAGACUGAUGGGUUACAACCUGACAGAAAAAUGGUGUGAAGCACUGGCCUCUUCUCUCAGCUCCCCUCAACUGAGAACGCUGAACCUGAAUGAUAAUGAUCUGCAGGAUUCAGGAGUGAAGCUGCUCUCUGCUGGACUGAGGAGUCCACGCUGUAAACUGGAAGUUCUUACGUGUUGGAGUGUAAAGUAUUAAGUGACACAUUUUUAAUACACAUUGUAUGUUUGCAUGUGAAUUAAUUGUCAUAAUGGCUUAAUAACUUUGUGAAUUCAUUUGUCAACUGAAUACCGGUGAUCAUAUUUGACAUGGGGUGCAACUAUGCCACUAGGUGAGUCCAAAUCCUUCAUUGAAUGUUCUCUUCCUAUAGUUUGUUAUUAUAUGGAAUCACGGAGGAAGGCUGUGCUUCCUUGACCUCGGCUCCGAGGUCAAACCCCUCACACCUGAGAGAGCUAAAUCUGGACUACAGUCACAUAGGAGACUCAGGAGUGAAGAUUCUCUCUGCUGCACUGGAGCAUCCAGACUGUAAUGUAAAACUCAGUCUGAACAAUAAUGCAGAGCACUGGUUGAAGUCUGGCCUGAAGAAAUGUAGAUGCCUAUGAGCUGACACUGGACCCAAACACAGCCCACAGACGCCUCUCCGUCUGAGGGGAACAUAACAGAGCUGGGAGACAGAGGAGAAACCGUAUCCUGAUCACCCAGACAGAUUUCAAUGCUGGUCACAGGUUUUGUCUAGACAGAGGAGCAACCAUAUCCAGAUUAGAGUUGCUGUUAUCCAAUACAUGUAUGAUAUAGGCUACUGCACAGUACGCACGACAGACAAACAUAAAGGCCCAUAGAUGUAGCUAGCUAUAUGCUCUCUUAGGUAAAUAAAUGAAACUAGUGUGAACUGUAUUACUGUACUGCAUUAUACUGUAUUAUAUGGGCUGGAAUUACGCACAUUGUUCAAACCCCGAUGAAGCAGAAGAGAACAUGCGAUUCGUGUGCAGCACAUGCGGCCUACAAAGUUACAAGUAUAGGCUAAAGAAUUUGAUUUAAAUUGUGAAAUAUAAUAUGGCCUAUUUGUAUACUUAGUAGGCUGUCGCAUAUAUAGCUUUCAUAAUAUUCCCCUAAUGUUAUUAGCCCACUUCCUCUUUCUCUAUUGUUGCUUCAUUCCUUCCUCGCUUUCAACAGUUCAAUUAGAUACUUUUCGUUGUCCUUAUCUUCAUCAUUCUAAUGACAUCCAUUAAUAAUAUUGGACUAGAAUUAGAAACAGAAUGCUUUCACUUCUCUUCACGAAGAUUGAAUGGUAAUGAGUCCGAAUAAAUAACUGAUAUAGCCUACCGCUAUCGCGCCCAUUUGCUCUUCUUUCAAACUACCCGUGAGUUCUAUUCGCUGCUGUAUUUAGCAAUCAUAAACAUAUAAUGCCCAACAAUGUAUUUUAGUCUAGUUUUUCCUGCAUGGGAUUGGAAGGGCUAAGGAGCGUUUUUUAAGGAGAGGUCAGCGGAGCACAGGUGUGUGCGUACUGUAAAUAAGACUCUUACUAUGCAUAACCCAUUAUUAAUUAGCUAAAUAUAAGGCUAUUACUGCACUGCGUGUAUUACCUGAAAGAGGUAGGCUAGGAUAUCUCUAUAUAGGGCUAUAUAUCAAUCUAGAACAAGGUGAUCUAUUUUGGAUGCAAUUUGAAUGGAGUUGAUAGAGAGAACAAGACUGCGAGAGAGUGCUCGCGCGUGCACUGAUACAAUGCAAUGAUGUUUUGAGUGAUAGGAUGUUUUAAAACUGCAGCUGCAAUUGAAAAAAGUAUAAUCUUUCAAAUUAAAAAACAAGGUGACGCCCGAAAGCCAUAUGGAGAUGGGUAAAUUAGACGGGCAUUCGCUCUUUAUAUUACUGUAGCAUAGGCUAUGCUGCAACAACUGUACGCUACCUGUCACAAGAAAACACGUUGCCAUGAUGAAAUGAUAGUUUGACAUGCAUUGUGAACAGCGCUCCAUACUGAGAUAGGAUGUCUGUCCCCACCUUCAGUGUUGAUUCAUCAUACAGACGCCGUAGAGAAGACCGAUUUAGACAUUGCAUAUCAUUUAACAGUUCCAUUUCACGCGAUGCUGUUCAUAUAAAUGAUUUAUUAUAAUUUACUGGUUUCUCACAGUUAUUUAUCCCGGGAAAGGGGAGUGGUUUUGGGGCAGUAAAUCUCGGUAACCGGGCUCCAGCCAUUCAACCCUAAUCCUGUUCACCCAGACAGAUUUCAACGCAGGCUAAAGAUUUAGUGUAGUCCACAGGUUUUUCAUAUUGGGUUUUGUUAUUGGGAGGUAGAGUGGCAUGGGACAGAAAUCCUAGGAAUCACCAGGGGCCAACUGUCACUGGGGAGGGGGGGACUGGAACGUGAUAAAAACAACCGAGGCAAUGGUGUGGUUUAGGAGUGUCCUCUGGUAUAUUUACCCACCUGUGGACUUUAAAAACAGAUCCACUGAGUCCCUCUACCCAGGGGUUUGGGUUUCUGUGGACUCCAUACUAGUGUCCUGUAA